rfam:Calditerrivibrio nitroreducens DSM 19672, complete genome.
UCUGGUGGCCAUAGCGGAGGAGUUACACCCGUUCCCAUCCCGAACACGGAAGUUAAGCCCUCCAGCGCCAAAAAUACUUGGUGAAGAUAACACCCGGGAAGAUAGGUCGCUGCCAGAU